rnacentral:rRNA from 1 species
UGGGGAAUAUUGCACAAUGGGGGAAACCCUGAUGCAGCAACGCCGCGUGAGUGAUGAAGGUUUUCGGAUCGUAAAGCUCUGUCUUCAGGGACGAUAAUGACGGUACCUGAGGAGGAAGCCACGGCUAACUACGUGCCAGCAGCCGCGGUAAUACGUAGGUGGCGAGCGUUGUCCGGAUUUACUGGGCGUAAAGGGAGCGUAGGCGGAUUUUUAAGUGAGAUGUGAAAUACCCGGGCUCAACUUGGGUGCUGCAUUUCAAACUGGAAGUCUAGAGUGCAGGAGAGGAGAGUGGAAUUCCUAGUGUAGCGGUGAAAUGCGUAGAGAUUAGGAAGAACACCAGUGGCGAAGGCGACUCUCUGGACUGUAACUGACGCUGAGGCUCGAAAGCGUGGGGAGCAAACAGG